GACAUGCGAUAAGUAAUGUGAAUUGCAGAAUUCAGUGAAUCAUCGAAUCUUUGAACGCACCUUGCGCUCCUUGGUAUUCCUUGGAGCAUGCCUGUUUGAGUAUCAUGAAAUCUUCAAAGUAAAUCUUUUGUUAACUCAAUUGGUUUCUACUUUGGUAUUGGAGGUCUUUGCAGCUUCACACCUGCUCCUCUUUGUUCAUUAGCUGGAUCUCAGUGUUAUGCUUGGUUCCACUCGGCGUGAUAAGUUAUCUAUCGCUGAGGACACUGUAAAAGGUGGCCAAGGUAAAUGCAGAUGAACCGCUUCUAAUAGUCCAUUGACUUGGACAAUAAUUUUAUGAUCUGAUCUCAAAUCAGGUAGGACUACCCGCUGAACUUGAGC
rnacentral:misc_RNA from 1 species